rnacentral:rRNA from 1 species
UAGGGAAUAUUGGUAAUCUGGGAAACCGGGAACCAGCAACGCCGCGUGUGCGAUGAAGGCCUUCGGGUUGUAAAGCCCUUUUUGAGGGGAUGAGGAAGGACAGUACCCUCAGAAUAAGCCUCGGCUAACUACGUGCCAGCAGCCGCGGUAACAGGUAGGAGGCGAGCGUUAUUCGGAUUUACUGGGCGUAAAGCGCGUGCAGGCGGCUCGAUAAGUUGGAUGUGAAAGCUCCCGGCUUAACUGGGAGAGGUCGAUCAAUACUGUCGGGCUAGAGGAUGGGAGAGGGAGGGGGAAUUCCGAGUGUAGUGGUGAAAUGCGUAGAUAUUCGGAGGAACACCAGUGGCGAAAGCGGCCUCCUGGCUCAUAUCUGACGCUCAGACGCGAAAGCUAGGGUAGCAAACG